rnacentral:rRNA from 1 species
GACAGAGGGGGCAAGCGUUGCUCGGAAUUACUGGGCGUAAAGGGCGCGUAGGCGGGAUGGCAAGUCGGUCGUGAAAUCCCUCGGCUCAACCGAGGAACGUCGAUCGAUACUGCUGUUCUUGAGGAUUGCAGAGGAGACUGGAAUUCCCGGUGUAGCGGUGAAAUGCGCAGAUAGUCAGGAGGAACACCGGUGGCGAAGGCGGGUCUCUGGGCCGAUGACUGACGCUGGAGGAGCGAAAGCGUGGGGAGCGAACAGG